CUGCACCCAAAAUCUGUUCAGUCAUGUAAAUCACAUGCUUAUAAUUACAGUUGUUUUCAGCUGUCUUUUUAUGAUGUUAUUAUUGUUAGAAAAAAAUAAUAAUAAUUUCAUUCAAUUAAAAGAAGAACUGUCUUAAUUGUAGCUUAUGUAUUUAAAGGACAGCAAGUUGCAUUAAGAGCAUAUGAUGGAAGAUGUUAAGGCAUUAAUGCUUUUCCAAAAUAGGAGGCCAGCAUUCACAGUAGGAAGUGUGGGGCCAUAUAACAUCCAAGUGCAAAGUUUAAACACGUUAAUGGAGGACAGCAAGGUUUCUGACGAGGUCAUGGAUUCCAUAUGUAAUGUUCUUAGCAAGGAUGAACAAACAUGUUUCUGAAGUCUUAUAAAGGAGUGACAUUCCUCUUUAAUUGACAGAAGGCUUUCACUAGUCGGCAAAAAAGAUGUUCCACCCAAAGUGCUGCAGCAGCCUACAAAGGCAAAGACAAAGGUGACAAUAUUCAGCACUUCAACAGAGGGAGAGGCGGAAGACCUUGCCGUGGCACUGGCCAAACGUGCCAAAAGAGAAGCUGCUUACUGGGAUACCCAAAGAGGACAGCCCAGCAAUACUGAGGAGCAUUGAAAGAAUGAAAAUGAAUUUGCAAAACCUUGGUCCUGAAUCGGAGCUGGAUUUAGCCACUCACCUCUUUGGGCCCACAGCAGCCAAUGUUUUCUUAUCUUUUUUGGGGAAUUGUAUGAAAUAAACUCAGCACCCAGGAUUGGCACGCAUGCACUAUCAAGUUUGUUUGUAAACAAAGAAGAAAAGUUCAGAUUACAAAACGCAGAGGAGUGAUAUUUCAUUUGAUUUUUAUUUAAUUUUACAUUACAGUUAAAAGCACAGGUGACUAAAUACAAGCUUUUAAUGAUGGUAACUUUAUGAUUACUGGAGCACUCCAGAUGUAGUGAAGAACAAAUGCAAAGUUUGAUAAAAAGGCAAAAAAAAUGCACUUGAAUAAAAGUACUUCAUUUUAACCCUUGAGUUUUGUAUUAUUUUU